rnacentral:rRNA from 1 species
GACGAACGCUGGCGGCGUGCUUAACACAUGCAAGUCGAACGGAAAGGCCCUGCUUUUGUGGGGUGCUCGAGUGGCGAACGGGUGAGUAACACGUGAGUAACCUGCCCUUGACUUUGGGAUAACUUCAGGAAACUGGGGCUAAUACCGGAUAGGAGCUCCUGCUGCAUGGUGGGGGUUGGAAAGUUUCGGCGGAUGGGGAUGGACUCGCGGCUUAUCAGCUUGUUGGUGGGGUAGUGGCUUACCAAGGCUUUGACGGGUAGCCGGCCUGGGAGGGUGACCGGCCACAUUGGGACUGAGAUACGGCCCAGACUCCUACGGGAGGCAGCAGUGGGGAAUAUUGCACAAUGGGCGGAAGCCUGAUGCAGCAACGCCGCGUGCGGGAUGACGGCCUUCGGGUUGUAAACCGCUUUCGCCUGUGACGAAGCGUGAGUGACGGUAAUGGGUAAAGAAGCACCGGCUAACUACGUG